AAGACUCUAGGAGUCCCUUGGACUGAAGCUGGUCUUUGCUCUCUCCUCACAGGGCACCCCUCCUGAGACUGUGGUGGGAACCAGCACAAGCCGGAGCUGCUGCCUGCAGAUUCACAAGGGGCAAGUUUGAAUACGAAUCUGCUGUGUUCCUAUCUGCCAAGUUCCUAUAUGUUUCUGGGGUAAACACUGAGACACGCCAAGAAACAAACACACACAUGCACAACUUCCCUGACCACAAGACUACACACACACACACACACACACACACACACACGUGCAGGCAGGCUCACAAACAGAGCCCAUUGCAAUCACAACACCACACACACACACACACACACACACACACACACACACACACAGUCUUGCUCAACUUCUGAGUCAUCAACAUAACUAGUGGAGGGUUCUGCAGUUUUUGCUGGGGGAGGAGCUGGAGGAGACCAAGGGAUCCAGAGAGGCCUUUACUCCCGGACACCUGAGAGCCCCGGUGUGUGGAAGAGGUGGUGUCUGAGGGGCGGUGGGAGGAAGUUUCUACUCCCCUCCUCCCUCCCAUAGCAGGGGCUGGGCUGAGGGGCCAAAGCUAGGCCUAUGCUGCCCCCUGGUGCCUGAAUUGAUUUCCAGAACCAGCUCCUCCUCCUCCAUCCCUUGCUACCCCGCAGGUCUGUACAUGAGUGCACGUGUGUGGACCCAGCCAGGCAGCAGAGGGUUUGAACACAGCAAAAUAUAGCAGUUAAAAGACUGGACUGUGGAUACAGGCUGCUUGGGUUCAAAUCCUGCUAAUGCUGCUAACCACACAACCCUGAGCAAUUUACUCUGUGAUUCAUUCUCGUCAUCUGUAAAAUGGAGCAAAUAAGUCUUAACCCAUAAUGUGAGAAUAAAAUGCAGUAAAACAUCUGAAGGCUUAGAACAAUGCCUGACACACAGUAACUGUCAGGCACUAUUUUUAUGGUUCAUAAUAAACCAGGUAUGAGGAAAGGAGAAGGGUCUCCAUCCUACAUAGAAGUCCCCAGAUUUGGGGGUCAUGUUACUGCCAAAAGGAUAUUGAGGGUGUAUGUGCGUAUGUGUUUGCUGUGUCUGCAGGACAGUGAAUGGAAGAGAAGGGAGAGCAGGGGUGGAGGUGGCAGGCAGGGACUCUGUCCAUUGGCUUGUCCAACAAGCCAUGCUAGGAUCAAGGUGUGUGCACAUACGUGUUCACGGCACACGUGCUUUGUAUGUGCUCCCGAGUGCCCACUCUGCCUGCAGACAUCCACAGACAGUAGGUGAAGCCAGGUUUCACCAUCUAAGGGUGUCAGAGCUACAAGUCCCCAAAGACUUGGAGAGGAGGAGGGAAAAGAGUAAAUGUGAUCUCUGACUUUGGCUCCUUUUAGGGGGUAGGAAGGCGAGGAGCAAGUACUGGUAGAAAAAUAGUAUAUAUUACUCCCUCUGUAACUGACUAUACCAAUGGGAACACUGUGAUGUAAGGGGAAAAAACAGAAUUUAGAGGCAAAUCUGGCUUGGGUAUGACUCCAUUUAGGAGGUUCACAAUCAGGUGUCAAUCCCUCAAAUGAGAAUAAUAGUUAUACCUACUUCAACAGAGUCUAGGCUAGGGUAAAGUGCCUAGAGUAUGAAAUUUAAGGAGAUACUCAUCUUCAGAUUGUACAAUUGCAGGGUCUGUCAGACCUUCAUUAAUGACAUCUGCACCUGCAUGACUGUGAGGGUGACUGUAUCACCCUCCCCUGGACCUUGACAUCCCAUUGAGUGGUGGUAAAGAUUGCACAAGAGAGGCUCACGCCUGUAAUCCCAGCACUUUGG
rnacentral:lncRNA from 1 species